rnacentral:rRNA from 1 species
UACGUAGGGGGCGAGCGUUGUCCGGAAUCAUUGGGCGUAAAGCGCGUGUAGGCGGCUCGGUAAGUCUGCUGUGAAAGUCCAGGGCUCAACCCUGGGAUGCCGGUGGAUACUGUCGAGCUCGAGUCCGGAAGAGGCGAGUGGAAUUCCUGGUGUAGCGGUGAAAUGCGCAGAUAUCAGGAAGAGCACCCGUGGCUAAGGCGGCUCUCUAGUACGUGACUGACGCUGAGACGCGAAAGCGUGGGGAGCGAACAGG